GUGGAGCAUGUGGCUUAAUUUGACUCAACGCGGGAAAUCUUACCGGGUCCGGACACACUGAGGAUUGACAGGUAUUAUAUAGCGCGCUUGCGCGUCUAUUGUUAAAUAUGCUAGUCCUUUCAUGAUUAUGUGAUAGGUGGUGCAUGGCCGUUCUUAGUUCGUGGAGUGAUCUGUCUGCUUAAUUGCGUUUCAGAUAAGGAUCUAUAUUCUUUACAGAAGUGUUGCGUUGUGCAUUUGACCCCUCGUUCGCGAGUGCGUGUCUUUUCGCGCUCGCACGCUUUUUACAUUAGGUCCUGAAAGCAACGAACGUGACCGCAACCUCUUGUUGCCUCAUCUCCCUACUUUUUUAGCACUUCGGUGUUGAAUAAUUUCAUUGAGGCUUUCCAAAACUAGAGGGACCGCUGUCAACUUCUUAAACCAGAGGAAGGUUGCGGCAAUAACAGGU
rnacentral:rRNA from 1 species